AACGUAGGAGACAAACGUUAUCCGGAGUUACUGGGCGUAAAGGGCGUGUAGGUGGUUUCGUAAGUCUGGCGUGAAAUUUUUCGGCUUAACCGGGAAAGGUCGUCGGAUACUGCAGAACUAGAGGACGGUAGAGGCGUGUGGAAUUCCGGGUGUAGUGGUGAAAUGCGUAGAGAUCCGGAGGAACACCAGUGGCGAAGGCGGCCUGCUGGGCAGAUACUGACACUGAGGCGCGACAGCGUGGGGAGCAAACAGG
rnacentral:rRNA from 1 species